rnacentral:rRNA from 1 species
GACGAACGCUGGCGGCGUGCUUAACACAUGCAAGUCGAACGGAAAGGCCUAUUUCGGGGGGUACUCUAGUGGCGAACGGGUGAGUAACACGUGAGUAACCUGCCCUUGACUUUGGGAUAACUUCAGGAAACUGGGGCUAAUACCGGAUAGGAGCUCCUGCUGCAUGGUGGGGGUUGGAAAGUUUCGGCGGUUGGGGAUGGACUCGCGGCUUAUCAGCUUGUUGGUGGGGUAGUGGCUUACCAAGGCUUCGACGGGUAGCCGGCCUGAGAGGGUGACCGGCCACAUUGGGACUGAGACACGGCCCAGACUCCUACGGGAGGCAGCAGUGGGGAAUAUUGCACAAUGGGUGGAAGCCUGAUGCAGCAACGCCGUGUGCGGGAUGACGGCCUUCGGGUUGUAAACCGCUUUCGCCUGUGACGAAGCGAGAGUGACGGUAAUUGGUAAAGAAGCACCGGCUAACUACGUG